GAUGAAGAACGUAGCGAAAUGCGAUACGUAAUGUGAAUUGCAGAAUUCAGUGAAUCAUCGAGUCUUUGAACGCACAUUGCGCCCUCUGGUAUUCCGGAGGGCAUGCCUGUCCGAGCGUCAUUGCUGCCCUCAAGCACGGCUUGUGUGUUGGGCCCCGUCCUCCUUCCGGGGGACGGGUCCGAAAGGCAGCGGCGGCACCGCGUCCGGUCCUCAAGCGUAUGGGGCUUUGUCACUCGCUUUGUAGGGCUGGCCGGCGCUUGCCGAUCAACCAAACUUUUUAUCAGGUUGACCUCGGAUCAGGUAGGGAUACCCGCUGAACUUAAGCAUAUCAAUAAGCGGAGGA
rnacentral:misc_RNA from 1 species